UACGUAGGGACCAAGCGUUGUUCGGAUUUACUGGGCGUAAAGGGCGCGUAGGCGGCGUGACAAGUCACUUGUGAAAUCUCCGGGCUUAACUCGGAACGGCCAAGUGAAACUGUCAUGCUAGAGUGCAGAAGGGGCAAUCGGAAUUCCUGGUGUAGCGGUGAAAUGCGUAGAUAUCAAGAGGAACACCUGAGGUGAAGACGGGUUGCUGGGCUGACACUGACGCUGAUGCGCGAAAGCCAGGGGAGCAAACGGG
rnacentral:rRNA from 1 species